rnacentral:tRNA from 1 species
AAAGCCAAUUUGGAGAGCAGGGGACUGAAAAUCCCCGUGUCGGCGGUUCAAGUCCGCCUCCUG